rnacentral:rRNA from 1 species
GAUGAGCGCUGGCGGUAUGCUUAACACAUGCAAGUCGAACGGACUCUUCGGAGUUAGUGGCGGACGGGUGAGUAACGCGUGAGAAUCUGGCUUCUGGUUCGGGAUAACAGUGGGAAACGACUGCUAAUACCGGAUGUGCCUGCGGGUAAAAGGCUUGCUGCCAGAAGAUGAGCUCGCGUCUGAUUAGCUAGUUGGUGGGGUAAGAGCCUACCAAGGCGACGAUCAGUAGCUGGUCUGAGAGGAUGAUCAGCCACACUGGGACUGAGACACGGCCCAGACUCCUACGGGAGGCAGCAGUGGGGAAUUUUCCGCAAUGGGCGAAAGCCUGACGGAGCAAUACCGCGUGAGGGAAGAAGGCUCUUGGGUUGUAAACCUCUUUUCUCAGGGAAUAAGAAAGUGGAGGUACCUGAGGAAUCAGCAUCGGCUAACUCCGUGCCAGCAGCCGCGGUAAUACGGAGGAUGCAAGCGUUAUCCGGAAUGAUUGGGCGUAAAGCGUCCGCAGGUGGUUAUUCAAGUCUGCCGUUAAAGAGUCUGGCUUAACCAGAUAAAGGCGGUGGAAACUGAAAGACUAGAGUGCGGUAGGGGCAGAGGGAAUUCCCAGUGUAGCGGUGAAAUGCGUAGAGAUUGGGAAGAACACCGGUGGCGAAAGCGCUCUGCUAGGCCG